rnacentral:rRNA from 1 species
UACGUAGGGGGCGAGCGUUACUCGGAAUUACUGGGCGUAAAGCGUGCGUAGGUGGUUCGUUAAGUCUGUCGUGAAAGCCCCGGGCUCAACCUGGGAAUGGCGAUGGAUACUGGCGGGCUAGAGUGCGGUAGAGGAGAGUGGAAUUCCCGGUGUAGCAGUGAAAUGCGUAGAGAUCGGGAGGAACAUCAGUUGCGAAGGCGGCUCUCUGGACCAGCACUGACACUGAGGCACGAAAGCGUGGGGAGCAAACAGG